rnacentral:rRNA from 1 species
AACGCGAAGAACCUUACCCAGACUUGACAUGCAGAGGACGAUAUCAGAAAUGAUAUUUCCCUUCGGGGCUUCUGCACAGGUGCUGCAUGGCUGUCGUCAGCUCGUGCCGUGAGGUGUUGGGUUAAGUCCCGCAACGAGCGCAACCCUUAUCAUUAGUUGCCAACACGUAAUGGUGGGAACUCUAAUGAGACUGCCUGGGUUAACCAGGAGGAAGGUGAGGAUGACGUCAAGUCCGCAUGGCCCUUAUGUCUGGGGCUACACACGUGCUACAAUGGUCGGUACAGAAGGCAGCGAAACUGUGAAGUGAAGCAAAUCCCAAAAGCCGGCCCCAGUUCAGAUUGUAGUCUGCAACUCGACUACAUGAAGAUGGAAUUGCUAGUAAUGGCGAGUCAGCAACAUCGCCGUGAAUACGUUCCCGGGCCUUGUACACACCGGUAUCUC